UCUUUGGAGAGUUACGAAAACUAGAGUAGCUUAUUGAAAUAUUUUCAAUAGCCAAAUAGAACUCAUUGAAAAAGAAA
rnacentral:sRNA from 12 species